AGCAGAUAUUGUGACGUCAGAAAGGCUAGCACAAUAUACACGGGAGUAAACAGAGAGUGUCUGGCAAGUGUUAGCUACAGGAAAAGCAAAGGUGUUAUGGUCUGAAUUGUGUUCCCCCCAAAAUCCAUACGUUGAAGUUCCAACUCCCAGUACCUUAAAAUAUGACCAUAUUUGGAGAUAGGGCCUCAAAGCAUGAGAUGAAGUUAAAGUGAGGUCAUUGAGGGGUCACCAUAAUUCAUUAUGACUGGUGUCCCUUUAGGAAGAGGAGAUUAGGACACAGACACACACAGAGGGAAGACCAUGGGAAGACACAGAGGGAAGAUGGCCAUGGAAAAGCUAGAGAGAGAGAGUUCUCAGAAGAAGUAACUCUGCCAACACCUUGAUCUCAGAUUUCUAGCCUCCAAAGGUUAUACCAUGCAGUUUCUCAAAACUAUUUCAAGGACAUGUUGGAAGGAACUGGAGGUUGCAGUUGACUCUGUUGUAGCCUUGCCAGCAUACGUUUUCUGGACUGAAAGCACCUGUCUCUCACUUUCUCUCUUGCAAUACAGCACUUCUCCUGAGGCAGGGGGCCAAGAAGCUACAUCUGAGAUGUUGCAAAGACUCCUGAUGCAAUUACUGUUUGGAUAAAUGCUACAUUACUUCAUUUGUGUACUUUAAGUAAACUGGGUCUAUUCAGUGUUCUAUGAGUCUUCUUUCUAAUUUCUAACCCAG
rnacentral:lncRNA from 1 species